CUACGGGAUGCAGCAGUGAGGAAUUUUGCGCAAUGGGGGAAACCCUGACGCAGCAACGCCGCGUGAGUGAUGAAGGCCUUCGGGUCGUAAAGCUCUGUCAAGUGGGAAGAACCCACCCUGUGCUAAUAUCACAGGGUGCUGACGGUACCACUGAAGGAAGCACCGGCUAACUCCGUGCCAGCAGCCGCGGGUAAUACGGAGGGUGCAAGCGUUAUUCGGAAUUACUGGGCGUAAAGGGCGCGUAGGCGGCCUUUUAAGUCGGAUGUGAAAUCCCGGGGCUCAACCCCGGAAGUGCAUCUGAAACUAAGAGGCUUGAGUAUGGGAGAGGGAAGUGGAAUUCCUGGUGUAGAGGUGAAAUUCGUAGAUAUCAGGAGGAACACCGGUGGCGAAGGCGACUUCCUGGACCAAUACUGACGCUGAGGCGCGAAGGCGUGGGGAGCAAACAGGAUUAGAUACCCGCGUAGUC
rnacentral:rRNA from 1 species